rnacentral:rRNA from 1 species
GGGGAAUCUUAGACAAUGGGGGAAACCCUGAUCUAGCCAUGCCGCGUGAUCGAUGAAGGCCUUAGGGUUGUAAAGAUCUUUCAGUGGGGAAGAUAAUGACCGUACCCACAGAAGAAGCCCCGGCUAACUCCGUGCCAGCAGCCGCGGUAAUACGGAGGGGGCUAGCGUUGUUCGGAAUUACUGGGCGUAAAGCGCACGUAGGCGGAUCAGAAAGUCAGAGGUGAAAUCCCAGGGCUCAACCUUGGAACUGCCUUUGAAACUCCUGAUCUUGAGGUCGAGAGAGGUGAGUGGAAUUCCGAGUGUAGAGGUGAAAUUUGUAGAUAUUCGGAGGAGCACCAGUGGCGAAGGCGGCUCACUGGCUCGAUACUGACGCUGAGGUGCGAAAGCGUGGGGAGCAAAC